rnacentral:rRNA from 1 species
ACGAACGCUGGCGGCGUGCUUAACACAUGCAAGUCGAACGGAAAGGCCCUGCUUGCAGGGUACUCGAGUGGCGAACGGGUGAGUAACACGUGGGUGAUCUGCCCUGCACUUCGGGAUAAGCCUGGGAAACUGGGUCUAAUACCGGAUAGUAGCCAUUUUUAGUGUGAUGGUUGGAAAGUUUUUUCGGUGUAGGAUGAGCUCGCGGCCUAUCAGCUUGUUGGUGGGGUAAUGGCCUACCAAGGCGGCGACGGGUAGCCGGCCUGAGAGGGUGGACGGCCACAUUGGGACUGAGAUACGGCCCAGACUCCUACGGGAGGCAGCAGUGGGGAAUAUUGCACAAUGGGCGCAAGCCUGAUGCAGCGACGCCGCGUGGGGGAUGACGGCCUUCGGGUUGUAAACUCCUUUCGCUAGGGACGAAGCUUUUUGUGACGGUACCUAGAUAAGAAGCACCGGCUAACUACGUG